AUGAAUCACUAAUUAUUAUCUGUAUGUGUGUUUUCCUCCAAGGGGCUUCUUCCCACUUCCGGAUAAACCCUCAGAAGAGCGUAAGAAUCAGAAGGGCUUUUCCUGAAGAUGGUGGCUUUGGCUCAGGAAUAUGUACAGAACUGUCAGUCCCUCAUGUGAGAAAAACCUGGCACAGAAGCUCCUUGGGAAGGAUGGAGGGGAGCUCAGUGAAGUCGUAAUAGGGAAGAAUGUGACUUCAGGGUCAGGUGCUGAAGGGAGGAGAGUGAAGCCCAUGAUACCAGCACAGAGGGAGCCCCAGACUGCCCGGGGGCCACCUACAACGUUUCUAAUAUUG